rnacentral:misc_RNA from 1 species
GAUGAAGAACGUAGCGAAAUGCGAUAAGUAAUGUGAAUUGCAGAAUUCCGUGAAUCAUCGAAUCUUUGAACGCAUAUUGCGCCCCCUGGUAUUCCGGGGGGCAUGCCUGUCCGAGCGUCAUUGCUGCCCUCAAGCACGGCUUGUGUGUUGGGCUUCCGUCCCUGGCAACGGGGACGGGCCCAAAAGGCAGUGGCGGCACCAUGUCUGGUCCUCGAGCGUAUGGGGCUUUGUCACCCGCUCCCGUAGGUCCAGCUGGCAGCUAGCCUCGCAACCAAUCUUUUUAACCAGGUUGACCUCGGAUCAGGUAGGGAUACCCGCUGAACUUAAGCAUAUCAAUAAGCGGAGGA